AUUAAAGUUGUUGCGGUUAAAAAGCUCGUAGUUGGACUUGAGGGAUUUAUAUAAAAGGAUUCUUGUUUUAAAGCAAGAUAUCUUUAUAUGUUUUUUCCUUUCUUUUUAUUUUCUUUUAGGAGGAGUGGAGGCAACGAAGCUUCUCUGUGGGAAUAGAUAGUUUACUUUGAAAAAAUUAGAGUGUUUAAAGCAGACAUGACAUGUACAAUUGAAUAUUACAGCAUGGGAUAAUAGAAUAGGACAUUAACCUUAAUUUUGUUGGUUUUGAAGGUUAAUAGUAAUGAUUAAAAGGGAUAGUUGGGGUCACUUGUAUUUGAUCGCUAGGGGUGAAAUCCUAUGAUUGCUCAAAGACAAACUACUGCGAAAGCAUUUGACAAGGAUGUUUUCAUUGAUCAAGAACGAAAGUUAGGGGAUCGAAGAUGAUUAGAUACCGUCGUAGUCUUUACCAUAAACAAUGUCGACUUUGGAUUAGGAAAUAUUACAUGGAUGAUUUUCCUAGCACAAUAUGAGAAAUCAUAAGUAUUCAGACUCCGGGGGGAGUAUGGUCGCAAGAGUGAAACUUAAAGGAAUUGACGGAAGGGCACCACCAGGAGUGGAACCUGCGGCUUAAUUUGACUCAACACGGGGAAACUUACCGGGUCCGGACACUUUGAGGAUUGACAGAUUGAUAGCUCUUUCUUGAUUAAGUGGGUGGUGGUGCAUGGCCGUUUUUAGUUGGUGGAUUGAUUUGUCUGGUUAAUUCCGAAAACGAACGAGACCUUAACCUAUUAAAUAGUAUAAUUAAAAUUGAAUACAAAUUCUUGAAAUUUGAAAAAAAGAAAUGGAUACUUCUUAAAGGGACUCUUCAUAUUUUAGUGAAUGGAAGUUUAAGGCAAAAACAGGUCUGUGAUGCCCUUAGAUGUUCCGGGCUGCACGCGCGUUACACUGAUGCGAUCAAAAAGUUUAAUUUAAAUUUCCUUAUUUGAAAAGAUUGGGUAAACUCAGAAAUCGUAUCGUGAUUGGGAUAGUGCUUUGUAAUUAUCGCACUUGAACGAGGAAUUCCUAGUAGGUGCAAGUCAUCAUCUUGCUCCGAUUACGUCCCCGCCCUUUGUACACACCGCCCGUCGCUCCUACCGAUUGAAUAAUCCGAUGAGGAUUCAAGAUAGAGAUUUCUUAUUUGUCUGAAAGGAUAAAAAAGAAUUUUUUUAGAAUUUGUUCAAAUCUUAUUAUUUAGAGGAAGGAGAAGUCGUAACAAGGUUUCCGUUGGUGAACCAGCGGAAG
rnacentral:rRNA from 1 species